UCAAGCGACUAAGUGCAUGUGGUGGAUGCCUUGGCGAUCACAGGCGAUGAAGGACGUUGCAGCGUGCGAAAAGCCACGGGGAGCUCGCAAACAAGCUUUGAUCCGUGGAUGUCCGAAUGGGGAAACCCGGCCCUGCAUAGAACGCUUUCGAUGUGCGCAGCACAUCAAAACCUGCUCAAGAGCAAACAAGCUUGCGGCGGCAGAGUGGAGAGCGUUGUAUGCAGGGUCACUCUCAUCUGAAUACAUAGGAUGGGUAGAGCGAACCCGGUGAACUGAAACAUCUAAGUAGCCGGAGGAACAGAAAUCAACCGAGAUUCCGAGAGUAGUGGCGAGCGAAAUCGGAUUAGCCAGCACAAUUUAGCCAUUACGCUAGCAGAGCGGUCUGGAAAGGCCGGCCAUAGUGGGUGAUAGCCCCGUAUGCGAAAGCCUGAUGGUGGAACUGGGUGUGCGAGAAGUAGGGCGGGACACGUGAAAUCCUGUCUGAAGAUGGGGGGACCAUCCUCCAAGGCUAAAUACUCGUGAUCGACCGAUAGUGAACCAGUACCGUGAGGGAAAGGCGAAAAGAACCCCGGGAGGGGAGUGAAAUAGAUCCUGAAACCGCAUGCAUACAAACAGUGGGAGCCCCUGCUUCAAGCGCCUUCGAAGCUCUUUCGAGGAGCGACGCGUAGCGUCGCGACUCAAAAGAUGUAAGAAGGAGUGAAAUGGACGGAUGAGACGUCCAAAUGGACGGAUGAGACGUUCAUUUGAACGGGUAAACCGUUCAUUCGGAAGUGGGAGGGUGACUGACGGAUUCGAACGAAGCGGUGUGAGCGAGAGCGGACACCGCGCAGUGAGAAGACGGAAGUCAGCCUGCGAAAACACCGGAGGGUGUUUGAAGCAGGGGUGACUGCGUACCUUUUGUAUAAUGGGUCAGCGACUUACAUUCAGUGGCGAGCUUAACCGAAUAGGGGAGGCGUAGCGAAAGCGAGUCCGAACAGGGCGAUUUAGUCGCUGGGUGUAGACCCGAAACCAGAUGAUCUACCCAUGGCCAGGCUGAAGGUUGGGUAACACCAGCUGGAGGGCCGAACCCACUACCGUUGAAAAGGUAGGGGAUGAGCUGUGGGUAGGGGUGAAAGGCCAAACAAAUCUGGAGAUAGCUGGUUCUCUCCGAAAGCUAUUUAGGUAGCGCGUCGUGUAUCACUUCCGGGGGUAGAGCACUGUAAUGGUUGUGGGGGUCAUUGCGACUUACCGCGCCAUAGCAAACUCCGAAUACUGGAAAGUGCGAGCACGGCAGACAGACAGUGGGUGCUAACGUUCAUUGUCGAGAGGGAAACAACCCAGACCGCCGAUUAAGGUCCCGAAGACACAGUUAAGUGGGAAACGAAGUGGGAAGGCCCAGACAGCCAGGAGGUUGGCUUAGAAGCAGCCAUCCUUUAAAGAAAGCGUAAUAGCUCACUGGUCGAGUCGUCCUGCGCGGAAAAUGUAACGGGGCUCAAACUGUGCACCGAAAUCGCGGAUCAGCAUGCUCCUUUUACUUCACUUCAUGAGCUGCCCUGAAGCUUGGGCGAGGCUAACCUGCUUGCAGGUUAAGCGCGCGUGAGCGCGCGGCCGAGGCCAAAGCGUCGCCUUCAAAGUCGAGGCGGGUGGGCGGCAGCGAUGCGGAUGAAGAAGUGAAGUAAAAGGAGUGUGCUGAUGGUAGGAGAGCGUUCCGUAGGCCGUUGAAGGUGGGGUGUGAGCCCUGCUGGAGGUAUCGGAAGUGCGAAUGCUGACAUGAGUAGCGAUAAAGCGGGUGAAAGGCCCGCUCGCCGAAAGCCCAAGGUUUCCUGCGCAACGUUCAUCGGCGCAGGGUGAGUCGGCCCCUAAGGCGAGGCCGAAAGGCGUAGUCGAUGGGAAACAGGUUAAUAGUCCUGUACCUUUAUGCAAUGCGAUGGGGGGACGGAGAAGGUUAGGCAGGCCGGGUGUUGGAUGUCCCGGUUCAAGCGUGUAGGCGUGCCCGGUAGGCAAAUCCGCUGGGCUUAGCCGAGGCGUGAUGACGCAAGGCUCUUCGGGCCCCAAGCUGCUCAGACCCCGCUUCCAGGAAAAGCCUCUAAGCUUCAGUUGCAUGAAGACCGUACCGCAAACCGACACAGGUGGGCAGGAUGAAGAUUCUAAGGCGCUUGAGAGAACUCAGGAGAAGGAACUCGGCAAAUUAGCACCGUAACUUCGGGAGAAGGUGCGCCCCGGUAGGUUGUAGAGAUUACUCUCGAAGGCCGAUGGGGUUGCAGUGAAUUGGUGGCUGCGACUGUUUAAUAAAAACACAGCACUCUGCAAAGGCGAAAGCCGACGUAUAGGGUGUGACGCCUGCCCGGUGCCGGAAGGUUAAGUGAUGGGGUGCAAGCUCUUGAUCGAAGCCCCGGUAAACGGCGGCCGUAACUAUAACGGUCCUAAGGUAGCGAAAUUCCUUGUCGGGUAAGUUCCGACCUGCACGAAUGGCGUAACGAUGGCCACACUGUCUCCUCCUGAGACUCAGCGAAGUUGAAGUGUUUGUGAAGAUGCAAUCUCCCCGCUGCUAGACGGAAAGACCCCAUGCACCUUUACUGUAGCUUUGCAUUGGACUUUGAUGAGACUUGUGUAGGAUAGGUGGGAGGCUUUGAAACCGGGAUGCUAGUUCCGGUGGAGCCGUCCUUGAAAUACCACCCUGGUGUCAUUGAGGUUCUAACCUGGGCCCCUUAACGGGGUCGGGGACCGUGCAUGGCAGGCAGUUUGACUGGGGCGGUCUCCUCCCAAAGGGUAACGGAGGAGUUCGAAGGUUCGCUAGGUACGGUCGGACAUCGUACUGAUAGUGCAUUGGCAAAAGCGAGCUUGACUGCGAGACGUACAUGUCGAGCAGGUGCGAAAGCAGGACAAAGUGAUCCGGUGGUUCUGUAUGGAAGGGCCAUCGCUCAACGGAUAAAAGGUACGCUGGGGAUAACAGGCUGAUGACUCCCAAGAGUUCAUAUCGACGGAGUCGUUUGGCACCUCGAUGUCGGCUCAUCACAUCCUGGGGCUGUAGCCGGUCCCAAGGGUAUGGCUGUUCGCCAUUUAAAGUGGUACGUGAGCUGGGUUUAAAACGUCGUGAGACAGUUUGGUCCCUAUCUGCAGUGGGCGUUGGAGAUUUGACGGGGGCUGCUCCUAGUACGAGAGGACCGGAGUGGACGCACCUCUGGUGUACCGGUUGUGACGCCAGUCGCAUCGCCGGGUAGCUAUGUGCGGAAGAGAUAACCGCUGAAAGCAUCUAAGCGGGAAACUUGCCUGAAGAUGAGAUCUCCCGGAGGCUUGACCUCCCUGAAGGGUCGUCAAGACCAGACGUUGAUAGGCGCGGUGUGGAAGCGCAGUAACACGUUAAGCUAACGCGUACUAAUUGCCCGUGCGGCUUGAUCC
rnacentral:rRNA from 1 species